GAUGAACGCUGGCGGCGUGCCUAAUACAUGCAAGUCGAGCGAAUGGAUUAAGAGCUUGCUCUUAUGAAGUUAGCGGCGGACGGGUGAGUAACACGUGGGUAACCUGCCCAUAAGACUGGGAUAACUCCGGGAAACCGGGGCUAAUACCGGAUAACAUUUUGAACCGCAUGGUUCCAAAUUGAAAGGCGGCUUCGGCUGGCACUUAUGGAUGGACCCGCGUCGCAUUAGCUAGUUGGUGAGGUAACGGCUCACCAAGGCAACGAUGCUUAGCCGACCUGAGAAGGUGAUCGGCCACACUGGGACUGAGACACGGCCCAGACUCCUACGGGAGGCAGCAGUAGGGAAUCUUCCGCAAUGGACGAAAGUCUGACGGAGCAACGCCGCGUGAGUGAUGAAGGCUUUCGGGUCGUAAAACUCUGUUGUUAGGGAAGAACAAGUGCUAGUUGAAUAAGCUGGCACCUUGACGGUACCUAACCAGAAAGCCACGGCUAACUACGUGCCAGCAGCCGCAGUAA
rnacentral:rRNA from 1 species